rnacentral:rRNA from 1 species
AUUGGACGCUGGCGGCAUGCCUCACACAUGCAAGUCGAACGGCAGCACGGGGGCAACCCUGGUGGCGAGUGGCGAACGGGUGAGUAACAUAUCGGAACAUACCCUAGAGUGGGGGAUAACGUAGCGAAAGUUACGCUAAUACCGCAUACGAUCUAAGGAUGAAAGUGGGGGAUCUUCGGACCUCAUGCUCAUGGAGUGGCCGAUAUCUGAUUAGCUAGUUGGUGAGGUAAAGGCUCACCAAGGCGACGAUCAGUAGCUGGUUUGAGAGAACGACCAGCCACACUGGAACUGAGACACGGUCCAGACUCCUACGGGAGGCAGCAGUGGGGAAUUUUGGGACAAUGGGGGCAACCCUGAUCCAGCAAUGCCGCGUGAGUGAAGAAGGCCUCGGUUGUAAGCUCUUUUGUUCUAGGGAAGAAACGGUAGAGUCUAAUACAGCUUGCUAAU